rnacentral:rRNA from 1 species
UACGGGGGGGGUAAGCGUUGUUCGGAAUUACUGGGCGUAAAGGGCUCGUAGGCGGCCAACUAAGUCAGACGUGAAAUCCCUCAGCUUAACUGGGGAACUGCGUCUGAUACUGGAUGGCUUGGAUUCGGGAGAGGAAUGCGGAAUUCCAGGUGUAGCGGUGAAAUGCGUAGAUAUCUGGAGGAACACCGGUGGCGAGGGCGGCAUUCUGGACCGAUAUUGACGCUGAGGAGCGAAAGCCAGGGGAGCAAACGGG